UCCCGCGCCAUUCGGCGUGCACGCGCAUGCAGGACCAGGCACGUAACCGUUUGGAGACUGUCUGGAGUCUGUCUGAAAUAGAUAAAAUUGAAAAUGGACUUUUAGAUAUCUGUGUUCAUUUACAAGGAAGCCGCCUGUUGGAAAAUGGGAUCUUUGCUCUCCUCCUCGAGCGCCUUCGCCCACCAGUCGCCACGCUCUGGCAAAAAUGUAGAUUUUUUUCUAGAUAAACGUUGUGAAAGUUUUUUCUUCUGCAGUCUAUCAGGAGACAGCUCUUUAUGCACAGGGAAUCACCCUUCAGCUCUGGAGUUCAAGAGGAGUGCACCAUCCAGAAGGCAGCCUACAAGAGCACAGAAAGGCCUGUCCCUAACCUGAACCAGUGUCUGACAAAAAAUGAUUGGAAAUGCAAUUAGAAAGGAGAGCCCUGGUUUCUUGAAGUCUGUCAUGCCUUCAUAUGUUUGACCCUGAAGUGUACCCGCCCAAAUGGUAAGAUCUGUGUUGACCUGUUCAUUAGAGCACAUUUGGGCACGUUUAAAGUUGAGAAAAGCAAUUCAAGGAAUGCUUUAAGGUGCUGCAGUGAGUGAAUGCGAUUGCCUGAGGGAAAUAUCAGUCCGCUGCACACCAGCAUUUCCAGAGCUUGAGCUCCUGCCUGCAAUGCCAGUUCUGCAUGAUAUGAUGGUGAGAAUUGGCUAAUCAAAUCCACUGCUGUCAUUCACUAUUUUUUUUAUUUUAUUUUUUUACCAACACACAUUUUUGAUCUCUUCAUAAUAUAAUCAUAGAUAUGGAUCUUAUAAGUUAUACUUGAGGCGUUGACUGGAAAAUGCUGAUGCAAGAGGCGCUCUGAAUCUUCAUACUGUUUUUCUAUUGGAUGAUUGUCUCCACCCACAAGUGCAGUCACGAGGUCUAGCAUCAUGAUGAUGUCUGGGAAAAACAGGCUUUUCGUGGGUUAUUUCUGUGCACAUACAAACUAAAAUCUGAGCCUGUUUCAAAGCAUUGCUCUGUACAGCAGCAGCACCUGCCAUUGUCUCCUGUAAAUGGUGGGAUGUUUAGCUCACCAGGCUUUUGCUACGUAAUGACGCAGUUUCCUUUGACAAUGGUGUGGCAUUUUUUUUCUUUUCAAAUCAAGGUUUUUUCUGUAUUUAAGAUGUCUCCUGGCAGUCUGCCAAAACAUGGAUCCAUUUCCCUUUUCUGCUCUAACAGCUGCACAGCUGUGACCCUCAGCCGGUCUUAGCCAUCGAUAUCGCAAAGCCAUCAACGUCCAUCUUAGGUUUAGGCACUGGCAAAAGAGAAAUAACUGUAAUGUAGCACGUAGAAAAGGAAAUCUGAGCUCUCGGCAUAAAUCCUAACAGAAAACGGCACAACUUGUAUGAACUAAAACUUUCCAGUCAAAGAGAUUUAUGGGUAUAUGUGAAACGUACUUUUAGCGUAGUGGUAGUAGUAUUUUAGUUUGUCUUUUAAAGUUUUAAUUUUUGUUCAGUGCAGUGUGUUUUUUCUUAUUGCCGUAAUGCUUUCUUUUUUCAUUUUCAAAUGUUUAAAUUGACUUUCAAAUGUUUUUGAUGCCACGGUUAAGAUGAUUUACUGAAAAUGCUCAUCACCUCAGAUUUAAAUCAAAAGUAUUAAUUAAGCGCCAGCGUAAUAUAUUCUAAUAACGUACUAUUAAAAGUUUAACAUGGAAUACAUGCUUUAAAAUAUAACGUGCAAUACACAUAUUUUGUUAUUUGUUAUUUAUUGAAGUCUAUCAGACUUAAAUGACGAUCACUAAGUCACCCAAUGUAAAUGAUCAUUCGAGAGAAGAUUCUGAAGCAAUAACUGUUUGAUUUUAAAUUUUAUUUGCUUUGUAAAUUGUCGAAAAGUUAUAGGCAUUCGGCGAUAAUAAAAACGCGCAUUAAAAUAAUACAUUUACACGAUUAAUAAAAUGUUUUUUUUCCAGCGUGUUGUGCAUCUUAAACCUUUUAUAUUUUUUGUAAUAAAAUUUUAGCAGCAUUAACGGUUUAAUAGCAAAUUUAUUUCUGAUUUGUACGAUUAUUACGCAUCGUUCGUAUUUAUUGAAGUUAUUUUUAAUCGUUUAUUUAAACACAGUUUGUUUUUAUUUUAUUGAGCAGAGUGUAUAAAUCUCUAAAAUGUAAUGAGUGUAAUAAAAUAUUGUUUGUAUAUUAUAGAAUAGCAUAGAAAAGUUAUGCUUACUGACGCUAAAUUAUAUUAGAGCGAUAUAGUGUUGUAUUUUUGUGUGUGUUAGAUUUCAGUCAGGCUCUUAUAAGUGAUGCAUCUUUUUAAUGAAGUUGUAUGAGCUAAUGACUGCACUGGAAAGUAAAGUCCACCCAUUGCAACGUUUAUUUUAAAUGUACUGUAUAAAAGGAUGUAGAACUGCUAGUUUGUCUUACGAAACUAUUUAGUUAACCUUUACCCACCCACUAAAUACUUGUUUUCCUCCACUUAUGUAAAGCCACACUGUAUUCUGAUGCCAUGUAACACAACAGUGGCUGUCAGUAACAUUAAGCUGGGUCUGUGCUUUGUUGCCAUUAAAAUAGAGAGAGGAAAAGGGACUUUGGAUUUAUGCAUGUGUUUAGGUGUUAUGAGGCCAGGAGGCAGGUCAGAAUUACCAAACCUAUAGAUUAAUGUCAGACCUGUUAGAUUUUGUUAAAAAAAUAAUUAAAUGAAUUUUAAAAAUGAGCCAUGCUAAACCAUAUUAAGUUCAGCUUAUGCGUGCAGGUGGUUUAGAUAGUUUCCACUUGAAAUUAUGAUUACUAAAACAAAAUUAUUUCAGCUGAAAUCCUGAUUGCGUCGAACACUUAUUAAUAUUUAUUAUUAGUUCAUUUGACUGCAGAUGCUUUUGUUAAUAAGCCUAAAUUGUUUUCACCGUUUUGAUCCAAUGUUACUCUUCAAAAUGUUUCUUUAAGUGGUUCCAUUAAACCUUAAUAACAGAAUAAUAAAAAGCUGUUUAUCUGGUGAAUUUUUCUGUCGUUUUGAGCCAAAAUAACAUUUUUGAAGUAUUGAAUUGAUCUUAGGUCAACAGUAGGAUCUUGGCUUGGAGAUAACAGACCUUUUUUUUUUUUUAUUAAAUUUCCUUUUAUUUUAAAUCACUAAAGAAUCACAGUCGGCACACACUCACUGAGGUUGGGAAUGUAAUCUGCAGCCACAACAUCAUAUCACAUGAAUAUUAGUUCUUCAUUAGCAGAAGGCUGCCUGCCUGAAAUUCCACAUUGACUUCAAUGUAAAUGUCACGGUUAUUUCUGAGAGUUGUGAAGGUAAGUAAAUAACCUCUUUUCGUUGACUGGAGUGUGUUUGCUUGCAUUUGUUACAACUAGCUGUGAUCCAGCCAGUCUUAAGAUGUGCACACGCAGCAUGUCUGUUCCCACUCAGCUGCGUUGCAUUGACAGCUUCAGCAGUACUUCCUGGUUUCAUUUGAUUGCAAAACCACCACUGACUUUUAAAUGGAGUGUGCUCAUUUACAACACCCUCAUAAACGAUACAAACAAGUUCAUAGGGCCUGGUGAUCACUGUUUGACUGCACUGCAAGGCUGUGUGCUUGCUUAUAGUGAGCAACAGCCUCAACAAGUACUUACCUUCUGGGAGGAAACUUUUGGGUUGAGGUGAACUUCUGCUUGUGUAACUCUUUCUCUGAGAUGUCAACACAUAAGAUUUUACAGUGGACUACGGCUUUGAAACUGACCUUAGUUAUACAGUUUGUUUGUGUCAAAAGACAUGUAUGCUUUUACAGUAGUGUUUAACAUAUUGCUCAAUGCUUUUUGGAGAUUUUAUUGUUCGUAACAGUAUUCGGCUUUCUAAUGAAGGUUUGAACGUGCAGUAAAUAGUAUACCAGUGCAGUAGUCACUAUAUAAAGCUUGACUCAUAUCAUUAUUAAAGGACAGAUUUUUGUAAUUAGGAAGACAAAACACAUUCUUAUUGUGACGAGUUAUUAGAUAUUGUUUUGUGCAUAUUUUAAUCAAGACAUCUUCUAAAAUUGAUAGCUGCUUGGUUGAUCAGCUACUAUCACCAUGAGUGAGUAUAAACAUCUGGUAAGAUGAUAAUAUGGCAGUUCGAGAGCCCUCCUUGCCUCUGUGUAAUAUAGUACACAUCGCCAUCGUCUACAAAUUUUGGUUAUUUUAACAAAAGACAUACUUGGGGUAAAGUGUAACUUGUUGCAUUAACUUUAUAUUCACAAAAAUGAAGAUGUAAGAAUAAAUCUGCAAAAUACUUUUAUAGUGAAAAGUCAGAAACGUCAUUUGUGGAGUAGCCAGUAGUUUGGUGCAAAUAGUAUGUAGAGCAGAUCGGUGUGUAUGUUACUGCUUUAUAUUUUUGUCAUUUGUUUCAUAUCUUACAAAAACUGCUUCUUUAACAUACAAAAGCAUUAAAAUUUCACCACUGCGGUGGCUUUGGUAAAAGUUUCCCUCAAAGCUGGAUUUCUGAGACUUGAGGGUGCACUUGCAUUUUUCCCUAAUUGGGUCUUAUUUGAACACACCUGGAAUACCUGCUUUCAUUCUGCCAUUUGACCUUUUGUGAAUUAAGACGGCAAGACAGAGUUAGAGCUCAUCAACCCUGCGGUACAUCAUACUGAGGGAAGGCUGCACCAUGACUAAUUAGUAAAUCUCACUUCUCUCUAAGGUGAAAAACUGAUUUCCUUUGCAGAGUGUGGGGGUUGAUGAGUAAAUACCCACCUGCACUAAGUUGCAGUAACCUAAUAAGUCUCCCUGGACUUUGAAAGUGAAUAUUUCAUAUUUCACUUAUCUCCAACAGCUUUUCUGCAUGUCUCAUAUCUGACUCCCAAACCUUAAAAGAUGGGUAAGACUGCACCCACAGACUGCAGGAUCUCUCUGUCACACAAUGGCGUGGAAAGGUCAGGCCUAAUGAAGUCGGGGGUUUGACCCCUAGUAUUCAGUGACUUUGCAUGGGCUCCCAUCCCACUGCUGCAACCAUGCCGGUUAAUCCCUUUUUGAUCCUAAUUGAUAGGCAUUAACAUGAUCCUUAUCCAGGAGCUGUGUUUUGUCUUCCACAGCCCUUCUCUCUGGGUGUCAGUGACACAAAGUGUGAAAGCGUUAAACCAAAUGUGAAAUUGAUAUUUUUCAUGUUUGUGUGCUUAAAGUCAGGCUGGGUUUUAUGAACACUCAUGCAGAAGUCCUCAGUGUUCAAUGUUUUGCCCUUUGAGACUCUUAACAGGACUUAGCAUAUAACCUCUGGAAUCCGACUGUGAUGUGAAUGGUACCAGCCCAUUUCCAGUUUGUUUUCCUUUGAGUCCUUUUAUCUUCAUUGCUAGGUGAUUGCUUCCUUUAACUAUUUACUAAUUACCCUCUUUAAAAUGUUUGCAGUCUUUAAGUCAGGGUACAUGUCACUUUUAUGAAAGCACAGACGCUGCAAGACUUCAGAAAUGCAGGCGGCAUCAGUUCUUCAGGGUUUCUUUUGACUUUGAUUUUAUUAGUCUAGUAUUAUAUAAGAUUCGUGUUUUGUUUUUUUUUGUUUGUUUUUUUGUUUUUUUUUUAAAUUCCAGCUGUCAAUUUCCAACUCUAAAAAUACUUAACUUUAAAUAUUAGAACUCUCGCUACACACUAAUCAUUUACAUUACUUAUUGUAGUUUGACUUUAUUCACAAUAGCAAUCAGAAGUCAUCGCACACAUUUGUAUAUUAGAAAAACGCCUUUACUAAACACUUGAUGUACAUUUGAGUAAUUGCUCAUUACAUUACAUAUUUUCCAAAGGUGUGUCCUUUUAAUUUCCUUGCAUCUACAAACUAGCGGCACAUAAAUCUGUUGUGUUACACGAUGUUUUACAAGUGACAUUAAAGGGGUAUUUUAUUUGUAUUUGUUUGCUAUUUGCUUUACUCGGUAGUUUUACAAAGUUUUCUUUGGGCUCAGCAGUAUUCAAGUUUUCUGCAAAAGUUUUGCUUAUGUUAAUGUUUAAUGUGUAUGAGAAUUUUCUUCGAAAUGCAUUGAAACCUUGUGCUGUCAUAAAAACACUGAUUUAAAAAGUUAGGUUCUGACUGCUGUGCGCUUUGAAUUGGUCACCUUUAUAUUAGAUUUACACGUAGAUGUUUUACAUUUAAUGUAUUGGUGAACAUUUUCCCACAGCUCCACCGUCACAAUUGUUCCCCUAAAAACUGCAUUAUGCUUUUAACCUAUGGUCUCUAAUGUGAAAAACUUAUUGUAGGAACCUUUUUCUCCCAUUGUGCAUUGCAUGAACUUUACUUAAAUGCACUUUAAAAACUAAAUUGUAGAGACAUUUCAUCCUUAAAAAAACCCACCAGAAAACAAAAAUCUGUUUUUAAAUGUUCCAUUUCUUUCCUAAUAUUAAGAUUUAGUUCCUUCUUUAAGCUUGGUAAACCUCAUCUGUCUGCAAAACCAAAAGAAGGCUUCAGGUUUUUUGGACAACCAUAUGUUAAAUAUUUAUUUAUUUUGAACACUACACUCAAAUCUGCACAAUUAAGAAGCAUGUCUCGCCAUUUCGCUACUGUGCUCAGCAGUGUGCAUCAACCCACUUUAGCUGUAAAAUGCCAGGUGUCAUGUUGGUUCUUGUUGGUUUCACACAGCGACUCAAGUCCCUCCCUGGAAUGCAUUUCUCAUGUCUCCAUAGGAUUGAGUGCUAUUUCAGCUUGUUUGUUGCAGUCAAUAAUGAGUACUCUGUAAGGCCUGAUGACAUAAUUUUAGGGAUUGCUAAAGGAAAAAACUCAUUAUGGAGCUAAGACGGUACAGACUGGGACGACGCACAUGUACUCCACAUGACUGGCACCACCUGCCCUCUAUAUGUUACACUCGCUUCUCUUAUCCCACUGAGCUAGUGUCUGCCAGUUAUGUGCAACCCCCAGCAGACACCCAUGCAGUGACUCAGUGGUGGGUUGGGCUUUACUGUGUUGCUGUUAUUUAGAUUUGCUUUAGCCACAGGUAAACAAGUUUGUAGAUGAUUUGGUGGAUUGAAAGGUCAGUCAACGACAGCAACAGGAAGUGUACUCUCCUUAGAGAGUCAGUGCACUGUAGAGAGUUUUUCUCAUGUUUGUUGUCUAAAGAAGCUUUGUUUUCUUGCAUUUUGUCUGACACAUUUUUUUCUAAGAUGGUAGAAAUUUUCAGCAAGUGUGUGACUAUUUGCUGUGCAGUAUGAAGAGUUUGCUUAGUUCUGGUUGUAGCUGUUUUCUUUCUACUUAUUUUUUUCUCCUAGUUGGAAAAAUAAUGGGGAGGUAGUUCAUGUACAGUAAAAUGAACAGUGCAGUAACCAGCUCUAACAUUUAUGACAGUGUUGCACUGGUUCAGGACAUGCAAAUAAUAAUUAUCUGUAAUUGUCAUGCUGUGUGGAUGGUAAUUGGCUAACAGCUAUAUCGUGCAUGCGAUUGGUGCACAUUUAAUGUAAAUUUUAACGUUUCCUUGAUUGAGAGGUAUGUACGGUAUAGCAGUAAUUGCCAUCCUGGAGCAUGCAAACCUUAAAAAACCUGACAGCUUCCACAUUUUGACUGUAGCUGUCCUGUAAUUUGAUAUUCUUGUCUAUAACUGCCUUUAUUAAUAAUUGCAAAGCCAAAAAGUACUUCUUGAGAAAACAAAAAGCAAAGAAAAUCAACCACGAAUUUGUGCAUGUGCAUUUGUGUUUGCCUGUGUUAUAGAGGUUUGACUUUCAGCUUGAAGAAAGCGACAUCAUUACACUUUUACAGCAUUGGCAAUUGAGUGACUGAGCCAUAUUUAUACAUGUCAAAUUCUGGUCUAAAUGCACAUCAAUGCAGUCUGUCUUUAGCAUUUUAGAGCAGUUAUACCUGUAUGUAUCAGAGUGACAUGUCUGAAGUUUAAAACUUUGGAGUGUUUAUUAAAAAUAAAACAAACUCUUAUUUUGAUAUCUUAUUUUACUCUGGAGCUUUACACAUCACAGCGCCUCACCACCUUCGUUUAUUCUCUUCAUAUUGUUUCGAUAUGAACAGCUUUUUCUAGAAAUGACACAGAUGAAAAUAUCAUCUUGCAGGAUGUUGCUGCAUCACAGCAGGGAUAAGAGGAGCUUGUUGUCAUGUGUGGAGUUGGUCUUUUAAGACAUUGAAGUCGACGGUAAUUUCCACUCCUCUCUGGAUUUAGCUGUCAGAAUUCCUACCAGCAGACUUCCAUUUGCAUUCAGUUCAUUUUUAUGAAUUAGCUGGUGUAUUUAUAGCCUCUGACCAUUUUCGACAGCUUAGAUGUGGAUCACUUAGUGUGCAGCCAUAUUUUUUUUUUAAUUAUUUGGUUGUGUUCACGCACAUUUUACUUAUUUGUAUGAUGUUUAAAACAUAAAACUAGAGUGGGAUUUAGGUUGAGUUCCUAAAAGAAAACAAGAAGAGUGAAGCAUAUGAAGAAAAGAUGGAAAAGGUUGGAAAACAAUCUUUGUAUAAAACUUGCACUAUGUAAGACCAGCCAUAUAUUUGCAGAAUGUCUCUAAAAUUAAAAGAAAACUGAAAAAGAAACUUUAUUUAAAACUUUUCUUCAGGUUCAUUGGAUAUUAAAUAAUCAUUUUCUCCCAGCACUAGCAUUAUUUCAUAUUUCCUACAUCCCUUUUAUUCAUAUUUAAACUUUUGGUGAUUAAACCUUAAAUAAAAGCAUUAAAUUAAAACACAAUGCUAAGCUCUUGUUCUGUGAAGAUGGAGUUUAAAGAGGCAGCAAUGCUAAAUAAUCAAAGUGCGGAUUGAUGGGCAGUAUUUGAUUGGAGAGCCUUUUAGCAGCUUUGGGCCUAAACAAGUUAUCUAAUGUAAUGACUAAUGUUUGAAGUUUGGUUUCAUGCUGUGCUUUUUCCACAUUGCAGUUGCAUUUUUAUUUAAAAAAAUAAAUCAGUUUUCUUAACAUAGCUGUUAGUCCCAAGUGGGGAGACUGCUCAAUCUAACUUUACUUCUCAAUGCUGCACAUUGUCCUUUCUCCUGACAGAAGCAUUCAAGAUCAAGGGCAGCAUCACCUUUGCCACUAAUGAGGUUGUUUAUUCCCCCAAAUUUCCUUGUGGACUUAAACUGAGAGGAAAAACAGGCCAUGCAUAGCAGAGCACAUAAUUAGCAUUAGCAAAACAGAGCUCCAAAAGUCCCAUUUUAUAGAAUAGGUGACAGCAGGAUCCCAUGUUUCUUACCUAAAUUGCCUGUAUGUUUACACUUUGGACAAAAGUGUAUUUAAUUGUAAUAGGUCAUAAUCUUUGAAAAAAAAAAUAGUUUCAGAACUUCCCGUUGCUUUAUUUUAGAGUCAACAUUUUUAGGACUUUAAUUAGAGAAAUUAAUUUCAUGUCAGAUUUCUCAGUAAUAAACAAUAUUUUUUCAAUGGUGACUAUCCAUAGAUAUUACUCUGCUCUUUACUUGGACUGUGUAAUAAAUGACACUAUAACAAUGUGCUAACUGCUAGUCAGUAGCAUUUUUCUUCUCUUUCAAGGCAACUUGAGCUGCAAAUAGGCCAAAUCAUCUUUGACAUCAGCUGCAUCAAUGUUUUUUCGCUUUGUUUGAAUCGUGGGCAUUCAAAAGUCACGACAUGCAAAAUAGAAACUCAUCUGAUGAAGACGACUAAGUACUAAAAACGAACUACUAGGGAUACGACAGACAGAGUACACCGUGUCUGUGGUUGCAAAUCAAUUAGCAAUCAACCUAAUGUGUUGAAAAUCCUUUUGAAUUCCCAAUACAUUGGCUUUUUUCGUGCAGUGGUGCCUGACGUACUCUGCCCUGAAUUAUUUAUCUUAAUUUCUAUUGACUAGAUUGUAUUACCAGUUCAGAACUGUCAUAUAUUUUAAUGUUUUUAAUCUAAUUUCCAUUACGAAUGAGUUUAACCUGAUCAAGAGCCUUUGGCAUUGUAUAUCUUCCAAUAAUAGUGAUGAUGAUAUAUGUGUGGCACUUUUCUCUAGCUGGUGCACAGGCAGAAUACCAUUUCUAGGCCUCUACUCAGAGAGCCCAUGUACACUGCUUUAUUUGCUGAUGUAGAUUGGGUUCCAAUCUCUGCGUAAAUGUGAGGCUUUACUGUAUGUUUGCUUAUCUGUCCAGCCAUCCCAUCUAUUCAAACAGCUUUCCUUUUAUUUAAAGCUGUGUGCUGGCUGGGCUUUUUAUCCCUAGGACUUUUUCUGUUAUUUUGGGACCAGAUGGCGAGGGGCACGGAAGCGCCUCUUUUGUCUGGGUGCUUCUUUUGAAAAGAGGUUGUCGUUCCCUAAUGUAAUCAGCAGCACCGGAAGGGUCCAUUUUGGGCCGUGAAAGAAGACAAUUGGGUCUGGACACCUCUAGCUUACAGAAAUGUAGAGUUCAUCUCUCGACCCUGCCCCCUUUGACCAAGGCCCUGGCAUGAAGGAUGCUGAUCUUUGAUCAGUGGAGGGUGGAGGUGCUGAUCCGACCUCAUGAGGGCCAAAGGGCACCCCCCUCCACCCCGUUGCCCUGUUUACCCUGUACUUGGCUACUGCUGACACCUCCUUCCGGAAGAAGCCAGGGGGUAGUGGGUUGGGUUGGGCAUGGUGCGGGGGUAUACCAUGACCUGUCUAGACACAGUUUUUGUUUGUUGCCCUGGUGUUGCCAAGGGGGACACAGUGAACUUUGACCUCAACUGUAGUUGGUUAGGAGCUACUUUGGUCAUCCAAGGAAGACAUUUUUUUUUCUUUUUAAUUUCAGGGUUGGAGGUGGGGAAAUGAGGCGGGGUAUGGAUGUGACCUACAUAAUGCGCAAUCUGCUUUCAGAAACCACAGGCAUGAAUUUGUUGGCAAAACUGGUUUUAUUUUUUUUAUUUAUUUAAUUAUUUGCUAGUUAUAUGAUAAUUUCAGUUGGGUCACAAAAUGGAAGACUUGUAUUGUGAUUUUGCUGUUUACUGGAUGCACUUUUGGAUGUUUUCUUCAUCAUACACAGUAAGUAAUCUUAAAAUUUCAUUUACAAAUGUGAUAUUCAGUCAAUAAAUUGGAGGUAAAACCAAUAGAAAUAUUAAUUAAACUCUUACUUACAAAAACUGACUACUAACAUAAGCUGUUUUUGUGUGAAGCAUCAGUCUUUAGGCCCUUUAUUUAUUUGAAUUUAUUGGAAAGCACUUUGGUUUUAAAUGUGUUAUAUAAAUUCAAUUUAGUUACUUGCUUAGUUUUAACAAAUGCUGAGUAGAACUUGUCUGUCCGAGCGGCUUUAAUGCCUUCUUGUUGAGCGAGAGACAGAUUUUCUGUGUGGUUACACAUUGUUAUGCUCGUAUGUUGCUCGACCUUUUUCACAUUUUUAAUUUUAUAUUUCAGUUGCUCAAAUUAAUAUCCGGCACAGUGUUUCUCUUUAUCUCUGCUUACUCAGAGCUUAUGCAUAGAUAAUUCCUUGGAAAAGAUUUAAACGUAAUCUGGAAACCAAAGAAGACAAACACUGAAAAGUAGUAAUGAAGAGUUUGAAUUUUAAAAACGCAAAUCAGAUCUUGUCUAGAAUUUUUAUGCCAAUAUGCACAAAUGUCUAGAUUUUUUUUCUUUGUUCCUUUUUUUAAAAAAAAAACCCCAAAACAAACUAUUUUAAUAGGCUUAGAAGAAAAUAAUUAGCACCAUUAUUCCUUAAUGGGAAUGUUUCGCCACAGACACAGUGAAAUGUUUCUUUUAUUAUUUACCACAUGUCGCUCUUUAUCCUAUGCCUACAGUCGCUGAUUUUGGCCUGAACCAGAACAUAGCCUAAUGUGUGAACUGGCUUUGAUGUUGAGGCCGUUUCUCAGGAGUGGGUGUAGCGAUUCCACCAUCAUGGCCGCCACUUCCAACCCCGCCCUCUCGCCUGCCACUCAGGAACAGUUAAAAUGGCAGCACGCAGCAAAAUGAGUGAGAGGGAGAAAGAGGGAAACGCCCACUACUGUGAGCUAAGGCACAGUCGACUGAGCUGUAGCUCGCCUCGUAUGCCAGCUCAAAGCGAGAUCAUUAUUUUUUGGUGUUUUCAGUCGUCUGAGUACAAUGUGAAUCCGAAGAUGUCUAGACGAGAACACGCUGCUGAAAUCACUGAAUAGUUAGCAAAUUUUGUCACAGAUUCAUCCGCCAUCUGUAUUUUACUGUAACGCUCUGUUUUGAGCAACAGUUUGUGAGAAAUUUUACUCAAAACAAUCAUAUAUUCUUCUUUAUGAGCUGAUUUCAAAACUUGUAAUAGGGCUAAUAUGGUUAGCGAACCCUUCGUAUGCAGUAUUUUAUUGGGCGUUACACUUACUACACUGUAAUUGAACAUGAACAUGCUCUUUGGUGUGCUGCCAUUCUUCAUGUUUUUGGUUACAGGUUUGUACAACUGAUUAUGGGCUCUGUGUGAUUAACACAGGAUUUUCUGCUGUGUACUAUCUAAAGAUGUUAAAAAAACAAAACAAAAAACCCUAAAAUAUUCAUAUUUUACUCAUAAUAUGUAUUUGUUUGUACUGCACGCAUUGGCCACUGCAUCAUUUGUAUUCUGAAGUGAUACAGUACAGUAUUUCAGCGAGCAUAUUCAUCUUUAAUGUUGACAGAACAAAGUAGUGCGAUCAGUGAUUUUUGAAACCCUUUGCUGUUAAACAGCUCUGUAAAUGUGCUUAUUAUGUCAUCUAACUAAUACCAAUUAAAGGCUGUACGCUACACCAACCCAGUGCUGUUUCAAUGAGCUUGAGACCCUUUUAAAAUGGCUCACAGAGCAUAGAUGGAUAUAACCAAUCUCAGUAAACUGGCUGAAAUUAAGCAUUAUACCCAAUCAUUUUAAACCUUUGCAGGACUGGCAGCUUCUUCUUAACAGCUCUAUUGCAAGGCACUCUACAUCCAAACUGCAGUGUGGAAAAUUUAAAGUGCAGGGAGCUAGCUGGUGUACUAGGAGGAAGAUGUCAUGCUAAGGAUGGGUUUUGGUGAUGAUGUUGCUACUGUUGAUGCAGCAUCGAGCUCUCACUUUGUGCCUCUGUCAGCUAUGAUCCGUAACCACAAAGUGAGUGACAGGCCAGUCCCUGGGGAAAGCAAGGGGGCCUGAGGUGAGUCAGAUGUAUCCUUGACCCUGUCUGGCUGUGUGUCAGCGAGCAACACAAACUCUGUAUAAAAAAAAAAAAAAAAAAAAGAGGCCAAAACUGGCAUGACUGUACAUUGUACAUCUUUAUUUAGUAUGUAGAAGAAGAAUGUAGGAGAAACAGAACCAACCUGAGUUUUUCUGUUAAGUGGAUAAGUUUUUUGUUGUUGCUAGACUCAUUUUGAAAUUAUAAUGAAGCGCACAUUACAAAUUGAUACCUUUGAUACCUUUGUGUGCAUUUCUCUUCCACCAGAGUGCUGAUGUUUUAAUCUUGGCUUUGUGAUGUUGUUACAGACCUGUUUUAGACAAACUCAGCACAAAUUUUGUAUACACUGUUUACUCCAGUGCAUUACAUAUGGCUUAAAUAACACAUUCAUGCAAGGAAACAUAAAUCUGUUCAUUACUGAGGGUAAAUUUUACUCAGGUUUGAAGUUGCAAAGUGGCAUAUUCACUCAAAUUAGCAUUUUGAUUUUUUUCACUUAAAAUAACUGAAGCUGAUGAUUGAGAAAAUCUUUAUUAAUAUAGCUGUUGUACAGGAUAUGUGGUCAAAUGGUAGAAAAAUGUUCCACUGUUAAUCAGCUGCAGCACUAGGUGUUGCAAUACUUAAAGAUGGUGUAACGUUUGUACACGAUGGACUCAAAAUGAGGGGCCUGGAAAAUGUUAUCCACAUCUCAGGAUUUCUUACUAGAGCAAAUACCUGAUCAGUUUGAGAAGGUGUCCAAUUGAGAAGAAAUUUUUGAAUUUAUUAAAUUGCGAUAAAAUAUCUGUUUUAUUUCUGGCCUUUUUUUGUUAUAUUCAUGUACUGACAAAUUUAAAAAUAUAUGGAUUUUAGACUUUUAAUCAGAUAAAACGGUUAAUCUGAUGAUAAUGUUUAAGCAUUUUGUGUUUGGGGAUUUUGUGUAUCUAAUGUCUGAACAAUAAAUGAUCAAUGCAAAAUUUAAAGAAUAUAAUGAUGAUUAGUGAAAAUAAUUUUUGUAGUUGCUGCUUUUAAGUGUAAAUGCACAUUCAGAAAUUGAUAUCUGCAGAUGUUCCAAAAGAAAACAUUGUGUUUUGUGCCAUGCAAGAUAUUUGCUUCCACUUGCCAAAAAAGAUGACCCAUAAGACAUAUUAGGAAAUUAUUUUAAAAGUUGGUGUUUUUUUUGAGUUCUAAAGUGCUUAUUGUAAUAUUUUGUAGCAGCAAUCAAAGACAAGAGUUCAUCCAAAGCCGUAGUCAGUGUUACACCAGACGCAUUCUGCAAAAGACAUGAUUCAACUUAAGGUGCAACUGCAAGAAAUGAUGUAUUUAUGUUAAAUUAAAUGUAAGAUAACUAUGACCGUAAUAUUAAAUAACUUUUUAUUAAUAAACAUUUCCUAUUCUGUAAUUGCUUCUCUUACUUUGUUCCUAUAUUUCUUUUACCAUCUUUUUGUUAAAAAUAUAUGACACAUCCAUAAAUCCACCAGUAUAGAGAACAAGCUGUGCAACUCAUGCUGUGUUAAAAACAACUUUGUGAAAUUUGAACGCAGCAUAAAAUUUGGUCUUGCUGAGCAGAAAACAUUACUUUAGGAAACAAAUAUGGUAGCUACAUGGGAAAAGGUGCAUUGAUGUUUUUUCUUUUUCCUGAAUUUCUUCAAGUGAACAAAAAGAAUCUUUGCUUAAAAGUCUUGCAUCUUCUUUUUUUUUUUUCAAGGGUCACUCAAACACGGUGUGUGAAAUGAGAGUUGCCUGGGUGUGACUUCUCCAGAAAGCAUCCGCUUGCUAUUGUCUGCCUAGUCAACUUCUGCAGGCCCCAGCACCCUGACUUCCAUACAUGAGAGAUCAAGGGUUACCAAGGUGCUUUUGAGAAAGAAGGGCUCAGUGUGAGAGGGGACAAACCAGUCCACAAAAUACUCAUUUCCUUUGCAUGUUAGGUGCCCUAGUGGGGAUUCAGCCGGGGUCACUGACACAGUUUUUCUUUUUUCCAUCGUUGUUCUUAAUGAAAACUGUUGCUUGCCUUUUCACUGCCUUUUCACUGCUAUCUGCUGCCCUGUACAGUAUGUGGCUCGAUAAUACGGUGAGUUUGUCCAAAAGAAAGUUUGUUCAGACUCUGACUGUUUAUCCGGUGCCAGACAGAGGCACCUCAUGUAGAAAAGGUAAAAGUAGUUCUGUCCACCUCUCAUUCUUGCCAAAAAAGUUCAGCCACUGAGCCACAGCAUUAACUUGUAUUCUAACAAGAUUAAAAUAUAUUCGUCCUGGGGAUUAGCAUAGUUAGGUGUCCUUUUGCCUCUUUUUUUUCCUGCACUGGUGCGGUGACAGUGGGCUUUGAUCUGUGUUGCGAGGCAAGAGUCCUGGCUUGGACCUAGCCAUUCGAGUGCCAAGUGUGAAAUUGGCCUGAUGUCAUCCCCAUUCUUCACCUUUUACAUCUUUCACCACUUUAAUUAUGUUUCCGCCACAAAGCCCAGGCAGCUCUGAGCAGAUUCCACUCUGGCCGUAGGAAGCAUUUAGAAACUGUGGGUAAAUGACACAGUAGGGGAGGGGGAGGAUGGUGGGAGAGGUCAUAGCAGGAUGGGGCCCUUUUGUGUGUAGAGGUAGACAUUGAUACUUUCCUGAUGUAUCCUGCACCCACUUCCAUUUUUUGCAACAUGAGAACUCUCUAAAAUUGUCUGCAGUACUGAAUAAAAUUUCUUUUUAUCCCAGGCAUUUUUAAGAGUUUCUGCAGAGAUUUUUAUCUCUGUGUUACCUCCCCAGCUUUACAUGGUCAUAUAUGGUAUUUUGGCAGCAAUGCAAGACUUUUCUGAACCGUGAGGAGCCUCAAAAAAGGACCGCUGGUGGUCAUUUGACCACCUGAAUCUCUACUUCCCAAUACGAGACAAAUUAUUCUCAGAUAAAACCUUUUGUUCCAGGAAAGAAGUGCCCAUGCAGCCUAACAGCUUUAGCUUUUGUUCAUGUGCUGGUGUCCCUAUCUGAACUUCAGGGGAGCUUCUCUGCCUGUGAAUAUUUUGAUGAAGCUUCCUAUUGAUGCGCUGAAUGAAGGAUCAAAACAACAGGGCUGCGUGCGCAUGUGAGGAGGAACACAAUUGAAUGGAGUAUUUGGAUGUGUGUGUGUGUGUGUGCCAUGCAAGAAUAAAAUAAACCAAAUGAUACUGAGGUGUGUGUGUGUGUGUGUGUGUGUGUGUGUGUGUGUGUGUGUGUGUGUGUGUGUGUGAGACAGAGUAUGAGUUGGCGAGUGAAAAAGCUGUGUGUGGAGAAUGGGUUACUGAGGGGCGGGAGGGGGAAACCAGCCACCUGCAGCCAUGACAGGCUUUGACCUUCAUUGCUCUCUCUCUCACUCUCUCUCUCCCCCUCAUGCACUCACCCCUCCCUCCCCUACCCUCUCUCGCUCUCUCCCUUCGACUCCAAUUUCUUCCUUGUGAUAGAAGCACAGGCUCUUUUCAGAAGCAACGAGGAACACUGACCGUCUCAAAGACAGUGCUGGGUGCAGCCCUAUUUGCUCUAAUGCUAGUCACUGGCCGUUAGACAUGGCGUUCAAAGACUAGUGGUGCAAGUAUGGAAAUGCAGAUAAGGUAUUGUUGAGGAAACAUGCCUGGGAAUUGUUCAAGGCUUUCCCUUGCAUAAUGUUUGAAGCUUUUGCAAAUGUUUUAAUCUCAAAACCCAUGAUUCUGAUUUUCAGCGACGAUUCUGAACAUAAACAAGUGUGUGUUUGCAUGGAAAGGACUGCUGUGCUGUGCAAAUGAAUAAUGUCUGUAAUUUUCUUUAAAAAGAGCAAAUGCCAUGUUUUAGCUUGUAAUGUAUUUGUUUUUU